AAAAAUUAAAAAAAAGAUUGCUUAAGGCCUGUCUGCCUCUCUUUCAAAGGGGAAAUCCCUCAGCUUCUUUAAAUAAAUUCAAUCCUGCCAACUAGAGAUGAGGGUUGAUUAGAUGAGAUUGGGGGAAGAAGCCCUCCUUCUCAAUGAGUGGUCCAGAAACCAGCAGCAUGGGCACCCCAUGGGAGUGGUCAGAAAUGCCGACACCGAGGGCCCUGAACUGCUGAGUCAGGCUCUUCUAAUGAUCCCUAAGUGGUCUGCACACACAUCAUGCCUUGGAGAAGCCCUGCUGUGAGGCACCCACGCAGAUCCAGACACUCACUGACCAUGGUGGGAGGUGGCACCUAUUUUAUUUUUAUGAUGAGAGGGAACCUCAAACUCUACUGUGAUGUAAGUGGUCUCAAAGGCCCUUUGAAGUCACCAUUUUAUCUAAAUCAGAAAUAGGAAAAAAAUAAGAAAUGGCCAGCUUAGAAAGACUCAAAUUCUUUUGCGGGGGGAAAAACCAGGAAGAAAGAAAAGAAAAAUACAUUGUUUCCUUGGCCAUCUGUGUGAAGAAAUAACAAAACCACCGUUGACAUACCAGCAGGAAAGAACACUGGAGAGCUUCACUUGACAGAAUUAUUACAAACGCCUCUUCCUGGUUCAGGGGGAAAAAAAAUUCCAAAUAGGUUUGUGAUAUUUUUUUCCCUAGCAUGCUUGCAACUCCCAGUAGAGCCAAUAACCAGUUUUCAAAACCUUUUGAUUCUACUCAUCCCCUGGUUAAUAAUUUCCAGUUUACCCAGCAGGCUACGUAACAUCCCCUUUCCUGGGAAAGAAUUUCUGUGCCCCGGCUGGCAGUGAACUGGUCCCCUUAGCAGCUGACCUCCUCCUCCAGCCCUGUGGCUGCCUCCUCUCCAACAGGGACCCUCCUGAUGCACAGACUUACUCUUGGAGAGGCUCCUCCCAAAAGUCACCCAGCUGAUUUUCAUCCACUUGGCUCCCCAAGUUGCUGCUCGACCGCUCUCUGACCUGGAUUCACUGAGGACACAUCAGGCCUUUGCCACGGGCUCCAUGGAGUGGCCGGAGCCCAGGGCUGGGUGAGUGUGGGGUGGGUCUGAAGGGGAGGACGUGCAUCUAGAGGCCAGGCCAGCCCCUGCAGGAUUUUCUGAUGUCAAAUCGCCUGUCCUGUGCCCGAGCCCUAUCGCCUUAGCAGAAUGAGGACACGUGCCUCCCCUGGGCCUCCCCACCGUGGCCUGAGUGAGUGUCUCUCCGGCUGCAGUGUUUGCAGUCAGCAGGUCAAGAGGGGACCCUCCUGCCCUGCUCCCAUGGGGCUGCUGCUCCUUCUAGCAGUCCCAGCUUAACACCCACACUUCUUAUACUGGUCCCAGGGCCCUCUAUGGGUUAGGGUGUAGAAGGAGGUUGUGUUGGUUAAAAACACCAGGUGGAAAUCUCUUUUCUCUGAAUGCUGAUGGAGUGCUGUUAGGGAGACAGUUCUUUUCAGUCUAGUUGGAUCCUGGGUGAAGACUCAGGCCUCGCUCAAGAAGGGAGACCACCCAUAUGUGCUGUCACGUGUUUCCAGGGAGGAGGCUGGAAGUCCAAGAUCAAGGUCCUAGUAGGUUUGGCCUCUGGUGAGGGCUCUCUUCAUGGCCAGGAGCUUCUCCCACUCCUGGGCACAGAUGGGCCCUGUUAGACUGUUGCCUUGCUCCCAAUCAAUCAUGCCCCCUCCCACUGCCUCUGGGGUUGUGUCUGUGAUGUCCUCUUCCUGGGGACAAAUGCAGCUUCAGCUGCUAUAGGCUGGGACUGUGGCCCUCCCUGCACCAGUCCCAGGGCCCAGCUUCCCCAGGCCACUAGCGUUGCUCCAGGAACAGUGUCCAAGUCAGUCCCGACUGCUAAUAGAAUCCCACGGACUGAGUGGCUUCAGGAACAGGAAUUUAUUUCUCACAGUUCUGGAAGUCCAAGAUCAGGGUGCUGGCAGAUUUGGCUCCUGGUAAGGGCUCUCUUCAGGCUUGCAGACAGCUGCCUUCUUGCUGUAACCUCACAUGGUGGAGAGAAAACUCUGGUGUCUCUUCCUUUUCUUAUAACGGCACUAAUUCCAUCAUGGAUCCCCCCACCCUCAUGACCUCAUUGAAACCUAAUGACCUUUCAGAGGCCCCACUUCCUAAUACUGUCACACUGGGGGUAGGGCUUCCACAUACCAAUUUGGAGACACACAAACAUUUAGUCCAUAAAAAAUGGGCAGGUGGCCCAGACUAAGCUAAUCACAUCCUUUCCUGGGCCUGUCAGGAACCUUCUCUGGCUUUUGGUUUGUUUGUAUUUUAAAAUAGAAAUAGGCAGAUCUGUGAGAAGGUGAGGUGAGAGUUGCAGGCAGCCACCUACCUGCCCAGGGGAGGAGGCCCUUUUGCAAUAGGAAAGAAUGAAAACAGCACAAAGAGAGACGUGGAGGAGGAAGACGGAGAAGGAGGGGCGCUUUCGCCUCCCUGGACCCAGUGGGCCCUGAGAUCUGCUUCUAACCUGUCUUUUCUCUAUUGAUUUUUGUCAGCUAAUAAGUCUUUCUUUCUACAUAUAUUCAUUGAAGUUCCAUUUGUUUUCCUUGCCAGUAAAAGAAUGCUGACAACCUCAGGAUUGGGCAAGGAGCUAGUCCUUUUCCCCUCUUGAGAGAUGGGGUAGCAGAGUAGUAGGAGCAGAGCGGCCAGGCUGUCUGGAUUUGAAGUUGUACGUGUUGGUCUGGGCAAAAUUUUCAACUUCCUGCGCCUCAGUUUCUUAUCUGUAAAGUGGGGUUAAUAAUAGUGCCCACCUCGUGCAGUCAGGGAUGAGGAUUAAGUGAGUUAUAUGUGUAAGGUGCUUUGCACACUGCCUGGUGUGCAGUCAGCUCAGCAUCUGUGAGCUGAUUUCCAUCUCCCUUGGGUCUUGUGGCCUGUGAACACAGCCUUACUUGGCGCAAGUGCUGAAGGAAAUGGAACGCACCCUGAGUGAGACAGCAGUACUCUCUUGUGACCCAGUUAGUAGCCAGCUGGCAGAUUUCUGGUAUUGCUCACUGCUGAGGGGCCGCUGGGUGCCUGAUGAGUCCUGGGAAAUGCCUGGGGCAGGGUGGCUGGCCUGGGCCUGUCUGCCCUGGGUUGCCCCUCCCAGAGCUCUCAGCAUGGCAGCACUAAGGCCAGCUGGACCCUACUUGGGAGGAUAGAGAAGUGGAAAGAACCCUGGGCCUGCAACCCAGCAGUUGUACACCGUGGUUUCCUAGAGGAACUCAUGCACAUGUGUCCUGGAGACCUGCAAGAGGACAGCACCAUGGAGAUGACCAGCAACUAAUACCACCCAAAGGUCCACCAACAGGAGAAUGGAUACCCCAGCAGGGGUGCAUGCAUGCAACGGAACACACCACGUACUGGUGAGAGUGAAUCAAUGUCGGUCACACGCAUCAACGCCGAUGAGGCUGAGACUCGUAAUAUCAAAUUUAGAAUUGCAAGUAGCAGAAGGAUCAAAGUUAUAUUUGUAAUAAAGCUUAAACACAAGCAAAUCGAGCACUGUAUUGUUUAGGCACACAUUCACAUUUGGUAAAGACAUAAAGCAAAGCAAGGGAACGAGACAAAAAUGAAAUCCCAGAGUAAUCAGGUGGUCAGGUCUUGGGGGGUGGCGUGGAGUUGGGGAAGGGCAUCAGAGUGGAUCUCACCUCAGCUCCGACUGCUUUGGGAAGUUCUAGUUCUGACAUGGAGUGGUGGGUUCACAGCUGUUUGAUUGCUUGUUAUGCUUUAUAACAAUAUAAACUGCAUAUGUUCAGUUGAAAUAUUUCAUAAUAAAGGUUUUUUAAAAAAGAACAUUGGGCUCAUCUUUCCCAUCAGAUACAGGCAUUUUUGUUUUGAAUUUCUAUUUCCUUUUUUUAAUGAGCAAGGAUCGUUUGCCUCUGAAAAUAUAAAUUAAAAAAAAAAAUAAGGCUGGGCACAGUGGCUCACGCCUGUCAUCCUAGUACUUUGGGAGGCCGAGGUGGGUGGAUCACUUGAAGUCAGGAGUUCGAGACCAGCCUGGGCAACAUGGUGAAACCCCAUCUCUACCAAAAAUAUAAAAAAUUAGCCAGGCGUGGAGGCGUGCGUCUGUAAUCCCAGCUACUUGGGAGGCUGAGGCAGGAGAAUCGCUUGAACCCGGGGGGCAGAGGUUGCACGAGCCGACAUUGUGUCACUGCACUCCAGCCUGGGUGACAGAGCGAGACUCCAUCUCAAAAAUAAAUAAAUUAUUUAAAUAUUUUUUUAGAAAAAGCACUGGAUUUGCAGUUGGGAGCACAAGACUUGGGGUUGCCCCUUCCCACAACCACUGUCAUUGCUGGGACCUCUGCAGCCAUCUCCUCCCGGCCUCCAUCCUCACCCACUCCAUUUCAGUCUCUGUUUGGCCCCCAGCUGAGUUAUCUUUGUAACCAUAAAUGGCAUUCGCUCAUUUUACUGCUUCCUGAAGUCCAAGCCUGUUCUUUUCAACCAUGUUUCUCCCUGUUCCUCUUCACCAUUUGUAUGUAGCCAGAUGUAGAGUUCAUGGAACCAAAAACCUGCCUUCUGCUUCUGUGUCUUUGCUCAAGCUGUACCUGGGAAAAUAAGUCAUCAGGUCUGAGCACCAGCGUCUGGGUCUCAGUGCUCAGCAUGCAAAAGAGACUGGGUUUAGGCUCUGUCACUCACCAUGAAUUCUACACGGAAUGACUUUUCUGUCCCUAAGUGAUCCUUCCAGGCUCAUUUCAGGCAACACCUCUUCCAGGAAGCCUUCCCUGAUAUCCAGCCUUUAUUCUCACAGCUCCUCUGGUAAUCCCUAUCAAAGUACCCUGAGAUUUCCACAGUACUUUGGAAUUUUCUGUGUAUGUGCCUCCUCCACUAGACUACCUACUCCCCAAAGGCAAAAACUGGGUCUUAUUUUGUUUGUCUCAAUAGCAACUGUACCAGCCGUGGCAUGGUGGCACUCAAAUGGUAACGCCCUGAGGGAAAGGUUUUGCCUGUUUUGCUCAUCUAUGUAUUCUAAGUGCCUAGAACACUGCCUGGCAUAUGGUAGCUGUGCUGCAAAUGGUUAUCGAGUGAAUGAAUAAAUGUUAACCUGUACUGAGUACUGAGUAAAGUUCUAUUGCUUGGAAGCUGUGUGAGCUUUGGUGAGACACUUAACGUCUCUGAGCCUCCCUUUCUCCCUCUGUCAAUGGGGAGAUUAAUAGUACUAUUCUUGAAGGAUCACCAUGAGAUUUGGCAGAAAGAUGCAUGUGACAGAGCCUAGAAAAUGGCAGGUGCACAGCCCGCGCUGCUUCAUAUGGAUUUAACCCUGGCCCCAGUGGCCUCAGGCAAAUUCCCAGUGGCUCUGAGGUUGUCCAUCUGAGCUCAGAGUCCCCGCUCAGCCUCCCUGGGUGGUCCAUGGGAAAAGGGGGUCGCAGGUCUGUGCUCCUCCUCCUUAGCCACGGGCCAGUGACCCCUAGGGUCACCUCUGACUGCUGGGUCCGUGGAUCUAUUGUGCAGGGCCUGUUGGUGGCUGGGCAGCCUCACUGAGUCUCCAGAGCCCAGCUGGUCAGUGCAGCCAAGGUCAUGGUCCUCAUUCCUUGAAUGGCUCUUUCUUUAAAUUGACGCAAACUCUUCUUCAGCAGCCACAGGUAGCUCCUAACGCAGCCAGCUGUCUGAGCACUCUCUUAGGUCCCUUUGGGUCCUAAAAUGC
rnacentral:lncRNA from 10 species